rnacentral:rRNA from 1 species
CCCUUAGAUGUUCUGGGCCGCACGCGCGCUACACUGACGAAGUCAGCGAGCAUGUCCUACGCCGACAGGUGCGGGGAAUCUUGUCAAACUUCGUCGUGAUGGGGAUUGAUUAUUGAAAUUCUUGAUCAUCAACGAGGAAUUCCUAGUAAGCGCAAGUCAGCAGCUUGCGUUGAUUACGUCCCUGCCCUUUGUACACACCGCCCGUCGCUCCUACCGAUUGAAUGUGUUGGUGAGGAGCUCGGAUUGGCAGCAGUUGGUGGUUCGCCACCGGCUAUUGCUGAGAAGUCCUCCAAACCGCCCCAUUUAGAGGAAGGAGAAGUCGUAACA